GCUUGGGUGGCUCAGUCGGUUGAGCGUCUGACUUUGGCUCAGGUCAUGAUCUCACAGCUCGUGGGUUCAAGCCCCAUAUCGGGCU
rnacentral:tRNA from 1 species